AUGCAGUCGAGCGCGAAGGUCUUCGGACUGAGUAGAGCGGCGGACGGGUGAGUAACGCGUAGGAAUCUACCCAGUGGUGGGGGACAACUCGGGGAAACUCGAGCUAAUACCGCAUACGCCCUACGGGGGAAAGCGGGGGAUCUUCGGACCUCGCGCCAUUGGAUGAGCCUGCGUCGGAUUAGCUAGUUGGUGGGGUAAAAGCCUACCAAGGCGACGAUCCGUAGCUGGUCUGAGAGGACGAUCAGCCACACUGGGACUGAGACACGGCCCAGACUCCUACGGGAGGCAGCAGUGGGGAAUAUUGCGCAAUGGGCGAAAGCCUGACGCAGCCAUGCCGCGUGUGUGAAGAAGGCUCUAGGGUUGUAAAGCACUUUCAAUUGGGAGAAAAAGCCGACGGCUAAUACCGGUCGGUCUUGAUGUUACCUUUAGAAGAAGCACCGGCUAACUCCGUGCCAGCAGCCGCGGUAAUACG
rnacentral:rRNA from 1 species